GGCCUGGUUUUGGGCGGCCGUCAACAUACAACGCACUGAGCCGUGGGUCAGAGCCGCUAGAAUCUAUCUGAUCCGUGGCUCAGAAAGUUUUCUUUCCGUCACAGGAUGCCAGGCGCGUCAUCAAUGCAACCCCUGGCUCCUCUGCCGUAGCGCCAUAGCCAUUUUCGCGAAGGCGAGAGAGGGAGCGAGAAGAAGAACAGGCGACCCGUCGCGCCAUGGAGUUCCUAAUGCAGCCAAUCCGCAGAUCUACGAAUUUUGAGGAGGUCGGAGAGAGCAUGGUGUCGGAAGGUUCGCCGGCAGUUGGGACAAGGCGAACGGCGGUGGAGGUGGCGCUGCACGACGGAAUAGUUUUGAGCGGGGACAAGCGGCUCUGCCCGUCGUCAGGAGCGGUAAUGUUGAGUGGCCAAGGACAAAUCUGCAGCGGUACGCCGGCGGCGGCUAUGAGCGGCGAAGAAUGAAUAUGCAGUGCGGUGCAAGCAGCAGCGGUGAGAAAGGAGAGCUCGCCUCCCACAUCUGAGCUGUCCACGGGCUCCUGGUUGGAAUAAGAGGUUGCGGAUUGGUGCUGCUGGCCCCAGCAAGGCGCCUUGCGCUACCCGUAUUGUUCGCCGAAAAGCCGACGGAUAAUGUAAUCACUGCAGUGCUGGGUACUACCUUUGACUCGCUUGGAUAAGCAUACGAUUUCUACAGCUUGUAUUCCUGGGAGAAAGGAUUUGAUAUAAGAUAUGGUAAAAGCCGGCUAAAUGUGGAGAGGAUGAAGUGCAUGCAGGAAAUUGUUUGCGGAUGUUUGCUAGUGUGGAGAACACAAGGUCCUGUCAGUGUGAAUGCCGAGCGUUAAUAAGGCUGUUAUGGAUAGAGGACAAUGGUUGGUAUAUCGCAGAGCAUCGAGAGAGCCAUAACCACUCGCUUUCGCCAAAUUUCGGUGAGACAAUUCACUGGUCAUCCCACAAGCACUUUGAUGUGUACAGCAGGGAUUUGAGAAAGCAUUUGCGGCAGAAUAAUGUCAACCUAGCUAAGGUGUAUAGCAUAGUAGGCAUAUUUUUUGGAUCGAUGAAAAAUGUGCCAUUUACGAAGAGGUCUUUGUGUAAUCUUUGCGGCCAGAUUAGCAGGGAACAAUCAGAUGAUAAUGUAAGGAAAACAAUGGAGGUUUUUGCAGAAAUUGGGGCAAAGGACCCUCAUUUCAAAUACAGAGUUCAGCCUGACAAAGAGGGCGGGAUCAAGAACCUUAUGUGGGCAAGCGGGAGCAAUAGGUUGCAGUACACAUUUUCCGGUAGUGCAUUAACAUUUGACACAACCUACAUGACAAAUUUGUAUGACAUGCCUUUCAGACUAUUUGUUGGUGUGAACAACCAUUUUCAGAGAGUGAUCCCGGCUGGAUUGAUUGUGUGUGGCGAAACUGUCGAGAGUUUCAAAUGGGUUUUCUCUGAAUUUCUCAGAAUCAUGGGUGGCGCUGCACCAAAAAACUAUACUUACUGGCAAGAUCUUCAUUUCAUUGCUGUUAUUUAUAUGGUGGUGUUUCCGUAGUCUAAAAAAAUAUGAUUGAUAUUUACUUUUCUGCAAAUCGUCAUGACUGAUGGAUGUCAAAUUUUGUUUGGUUCACAGACCAGAAUCGGGCUAUGGAAGUGGCGUUCAAGAACAUAAUGCCAGAUACUAUGCACUGCUGGUGUAAGUGGCACGUGCUAAAUAAAGUCAAAGAAUCGUUGGGCCUCUGCACACCAAGAAGAGUGAAUUCUGAGCAGAGUUCCGCAAAAGUGGUGAAUCACAUGCUGACGGUGGGUGAAUUUGAGAAAGACUGGGAAUUGUUGCUUGCUAAAUACAUGAUGAGGUCGCAUCCAUAUAUGACGAACCUAUUUGAGAUCAGGGAGAAAAUGGGCGAAGCCGUAUUUGAAAGGAGUGUUUUGUGCCAAGAUAGCGAGCACGCAAAGUAGUGAAAGUGCGAACCAUAUGUUAAAGAAUUAUGUCCCUCCAGGAUGUCCAAUGCUUAUGUUUCUUUAGAAGUAUAUGAGGCUACUCUUUGACAGUGAAGCGGAAGAGAACUAUGAAGAGAAGCGAACAAGAAUUGGGAGGCCUUUGUUAAGAGCAAACUUGGCAGUUGAAAGACAUGCUGGAAAGAUAUAUACAAGGGCCAUGUUUGAGGAAUUUGGGCAUAUAUUGUAUGAGUGUCGAGUUAACCAAGUGGAAGAAAUUGAGAAACAUAAGCUGUAUGUUGCAAUUCACAUUGAGGCUGACAAAAGAGAGAAGUGGUGCAGGGUGUCAUAUGAGGUAAAAGUUGCUAGACGGAGGUCACGAAUUUGAAUGUGAAUGCGGGCAGUUUGAACACAUGGGGCUGCUGUGCAGCCAUGUGUUGAAGGUCCUAGACUUCAUCCGAGCUAAAGAAAUCCCAGUUAAGCAUACAGUAAAAAGGUGGAGAAAGGAUGCUUGAGAUAUACUGCCUAAGGACCUUGUGCAAUAUCAGAAAGAAGACAUGCAUAAAAAUCCAUUCUCAUACAGACACUUCACCAUAUAUAUGCAUGCGAUGGAACUAGCCCGCCUGGGCGAUACAAGUGUGGAGGCAUACAACCGUUUGAUGGGGCUAUUCAAAGCAAACCUGGCAGAGAUGUUGCCAGAUGCCGAAGGGAGAGAUGGCCUUGGUCUCGAGGAUAGGCUUGCUGAUAAGGGAGGUGCUGUGAAUCAGAUGGCAUCGUCCAUGGCGGCCGAAGUAGUGAACAAUAGUGGUCAGUAUGCCGGAAGCAAGGCCGGAUAAGAACAACUUGCCCAGACCGAGGAGAUGUACCAAAGCAGCCGAGGAAGCCGGCUAGGUAUAAGAAUUGCGGAGUGGAGGGUCGCCAGAGGAAUAAUUGUAAAAGGCAAUUGAUCUUAGGUUAGUAGGUGGAAUGUAGUUGCUGGCUGAUCAAACUAAUGAAUUAUCUGUUGACAUGUUCUCCAUAAUGGUUCAGUGUUUCGAUGUUCAUGUGUUGGGGUGUAAGCUCGAUACUUUGGUAAUGCUGGUGGAACUGAAACAAGUGCUGUAUGAUGGGUGAAACAUGCAAAAUCUGUGUACAUUAGCUGGAAGGCAGUCUGUAAUUUCCCUUGUUAUUCUCUUGGUUCAUGACAUGUGAGUUAGGCUUUUUUUGCUGAAUCUGAAUUUUGGUCUGUACUAUGCCUGCAAUCUGGACAAGGGAUGAGCGGAAGGGCGUGCCCAUGUUGCGAGGAAGAAGCUGAGGAGGACAUGGCCGCCGAUAUGGUUUCUUGCGAGCUUAGAUGGGAUGAGAGAGGAGGAGCAGGAGGAAGGAUCGAGAGCAGGGUGAGGGGUUGGUGAGGCACAGUAAAUACGGUAGCGAGUGGACAGUGGCCGUUAAGGCUGUAAGGCCGAGCCGUGGCUCUGAACAUAGCAGUCCGUCUGAGCCGGUUCACGCGGGACGGAAAGGUGGCAUCAUGUGGGAUAGGAUGUAGGCAUCAAUGGGGCAUCUUACUUCUUGCGGGAUGUAGGCGUCGACGACGGGCACGACCGUGAGCGGAGCCGCCUACAUCGUCCUGAUGGCCUUGAUGACCUUGGUGCGGCUCGCCACCGCGAGCAUGGCCUCGCUCGCCCCGCUGAGCUCACGAACGAUGCGCAACAGGACGCCACCGAGCUCCGCGUCGAAACCUGACCAUGUCAAUCUGGGUGAGCAUCUUGUACAUUGGCACCGACUCCAUAAGCUCCACCAGCACCAUGUUGUCCACCGAGCUCUUUAGCGGCACCAGCGCGAUGCACG